AUCCACAGCCGUACCACCCUGAAGGCUCCAGGUCUCGGAAGCUAGGCAGGGUCAGGCCUGGUUAGUGCUUGGAUGAGAGAAUGUGGAUC
rnacentral:rRNA from 1 species